GCUGGGCAUAGUGGCACAUGCCUGUAGUCCCAGCUAUUCCGGAGGCUGAGGUGGGAGGACUGCUUGAGCCCAGGAGUUCUGGGCUGUAGUGUGCUAUGCCCAUCAGGUGUCUGCACUAAGUUCAGCAUCAAUAUGGUGACGUCCCAGGAGCGGGGCACUACCAGGUUGCCUAUGGAGGGGUGAACCAGUCAGAAACGAAGCAGGUCAAAACUCCCUUGCUGAUCAGUAGUGGGAUCAUGCCUGUGAAUAGCCACUGUAUUCCAGCCUGGGCAACAUAGCGAGACCCUCUCUCU
rnacentral:SRP_RNA from 1 species